rnacentral:tRNA from 1 species
CAUUAGAUGGCUGAAAUCAAGCUCUGACCUCUUAAGUCAUAAAAUAGUAAAUUAGUGAAUACUUCUAAUGA